UUCGUUUCAAAAUCCCUAAUUUGGAACUAUCGUUCCCGACAGCUGGAGCGUGAGGAGCAUCUGCAGAUCAAACAGGAAUGGGAUUUAGGGCUUUUUUUGAGUGAUUAAGAUAGAAAUAUAUUUUGGGUUGAAGAAGAUCAAGCUUCAACGUUUUGAGGAGAAAUUUCGAUCACACGCAUAGCAGGUUGAUAACCGUGGAUGUGGUAUGUUUGUAUGGUUGAAAGAUGAAACACAUAUCUC